rnacentral:rRNA from 1 species
GACGAACGCUGGCGGCGUGCUUAACACAUGCAAGUCGAACGGAAAGGCCCUGCUUUUGUGGGGUGCUCGAGUGGCGAACGGGUGAGUAACACGUGAGUAACCUGCCCUUGACUUUGGGAUAACUUCAGGAAACUGGGGCUAAUACCGGAUAGGAGCUCCUGCUGCAUGGUGGGGGUUGGAAAGUUUCGGCGGUUGGGGAUGGACUCGCGGCUUAUCAGCUUGUUGGUGGGGUAGUGGCUUACCAAGGCUUUGACGGGUAGCCGGCCUGAGAGGGUGACCGGCCACAUUGGGACUGAGAUACGGCCCAGACUCCUACGGGAGGCAGCAGUGGGGAAUAUUGCACAAUGGGCGGAAGCCUGAUGCAGCAACGCCGCGUGCGGGAUGACGGCCUUCGGGUUGUAAACCGCUUUCGCCUGUGACGAAGCGUGAGUGACGGUAAUGGGUAAAGAAGCACCGGCUAACUACGUGCCAGCAGCCGCGGUGAUACGUAGGGUGCGAGCGUUGUCCGGAUUUAUUGGGCGUAAAGGGCUCGUAGGUGGUUGAUCGCGUCGGAAGUGUAAUCUUGGGGCUUAACCCUGAGCGUGCUUUCGAUACGGGUUGACUUGAGGAAGGUAGGGGAGAAUGGAAUUCCUGGUGGAGCGGUGGAAUGCGCAGAUAUCAGGAGGAACACCAGUGGCGAAGGCGGUUCUCUGGGCCUUUCCUGACGCUGAGGAGCGAAAGCGUGGGGAGCGAACAGGCUUAGAUACCCUGGUAGUCCACGCUGUAAACGGUGGGUACUAGGUGUGGGGUCCAUUCCACGGGUUCCGUGCCGUAGCUAACGCUUUAAGUACCCCGCCUGGGGAGUACGGCCGCAAGGCUAAAACUCAAAGGAAUUGACGGGGCCCCGCACAAGCGGCGGAGCAUGCGGAUUAAUUCGAUGCAACGCGUAGAACCUUACCUGGGUUUGACAUGGAUCGGGAGCGCUCAGAGAUGGGUGUGCCUCUUUUGGGGUCGGUUCACAGGUGGUGCAUGGCUGUCGUCAGCUCGUGUCGUGAGAUGUUGGGUUAAGUCCCGCAACGAGCGCAACCCUUGUUCACUGUUGCCAGCACGUUAUGGUGGGGACUCAGUGGAGACCGCCGGGGUCAACUCGGAGGAAGGUGGGGAUGACGUCAAGUCAUCAUGCCCCUUAUGUCCAGGGCUUCACGCAUGCUACAAUGGCUGGUACAGAGAGUGGCGAGCCUGUGAGGGUGUGCGAAUCUCGGAAAGCCGGUCUCAGUUCGGAUUGGGGUCUGCAACUCGACCUCAUGAAGUCGGAGUCGCUAGUAAUCGCAGAUCAGCAACGCUGCGGUGAAUACGUUCCCGGGGCU